GCCACCAUAGCUCAGAUAGGUAGAGCACAUCCAUGGUAAGGAUGAGGUCAUCGGUUCGAAUCCGAUUGGUGGCU
rnacentral:tRNA from 2 species